rnacentral:rRNA from 1 species
UCUAAGCCAUGCGAGUCAUUGUAGCAAUACAAGGCAGACGGCUCAGUAACGCGUAGUCAAUCUACCCUAUGGACGGGAAUAACCUCGGGAAACUGAGAAUAAUGCCCGAUAGAACAUUAUGCCUGGAAUGGUUUAUGUUUCAAAUGAUUUAUCGCCAUAGGAUGGGACUGCGGCCUAUCAGUUUGUUGGUGAGGUAAUGGCCCACCAAGACUAUUACAGGUACGGGCUCUGAGAGGAGUAGCCCGGAGAUGGGUACUGAGACACGGACCCAGGCCCUAUGGGGCGCAGCAGGCGAGAAAACUUUGCAAUGUGCGAAAGCACGACAAGGUUAAUCCGAGUGGUUUCUGCUAAAGAAACCUUUUGUCAGUCCUAGAAACACUGACGAAUAAGGGGUGGGCAAGUUCUGGUGUCAGCCGCCGCGGUAAAACCAGCACCUCAAGUGGUCAGGAUGAUUAUUGGGCCUAAAGCAUCCGUAGCUCGUUUUGUAAGUUUUCGGUUAAAUCCAUGCGCUUAACGUAUGGGCUGCCGGGAAUACUGCAUAACUAGGAAGUGGGAGAGGUAGACGGUACUCGGUAGGAAGGGGUAAAAUCCUUUGAUCUAUUGAUGACCACCUGUGGCGAAGGCGGUCUACCAGAACACGUUCGACGGUGAGGGAUGAAAGCUGGGGGAGCAAACCGGAUUAGAUACCCGGGUAGUCCCAGCUGUAAACUAUGCAAACUCAGUGAUGCAUUGGCUUGUGGCCAAUGCAGUGCUGCAGGGAAGCCGUUAAGUUUGCCGCCUGGGAAGUACGUACGCAAGUAUGAAACUUAAAGGAAUUGGCGGGGGAGCACCACAAGGGGUGAAGCCUGCGGUUCAAUUGGAGUCAACGCCAGAAAUCUUACCCGGAGAGACAGCAGAAUGAAGGUCAAGCUGAAGACUUUACCAGACAAGCUGAGAGGAGGUGCAUGGCC